rnacentral:rRNA from 1 species
UACGGAGGGUGCAAGCGUUAUCCGGAUUCACUGGGCUUAAAGGGUGCGUAGGCGGGUUGGUAAGUCCGUGGUGAAAUCCCCAAGCUUAACUUGGGAACUGCCGUGGAUACUAUCAAUCUUGAAUAUCGUGGAGGUAAGCGGAAUAUGUCAUGUAGCGGUGAAAUGCUUAGAUAUGACAUAGAACACCAAUUGCGUAGGCAGCUUACUACACGAUCAUUGACACUGAGGCACGAAAGCGUGGGGAGCAAACAGG